GAUUAAGAAAAUAAGAGCUCCAAACCCUCUCUUCUUCCUCUCCAAAACCAAACCCUUUCAUCUCCAUGCCAAAUCCAUUAUUCUCAACCAAACUUGAUGGAAUUGGAGGCAAAAUGAUCACAAGGAAGAGGAUAAGCAAGGUAUAAACAAUGGAUUGGGAGCUUGAAUUUGGAGAAUUCAUGGGGGAAUUUAAUUCGGCCACAAAGAUAACUCAUCACUCAAGAUCGGACGAGCGACUAUCGACAAGGCUUGAGGCAAAGGGAUCGAGAUAUCUUCAUGCGUAUUUGAAGAAUUUGGAUAGCAAGUGG